AACAUCCUCUCUCUCUCAACCCCUACCCCCUCUCUCUCGGCCGCCGUUCUUAAGAACCACGCGAUCGUCGCUGGGUAUCGGGUUUCGGUGCUUGUUUCACUCUCCGAUCAGCACUAAAACGAUGGUCUAAGUGACCAGGAAAGCCUCUCUUUACCUCUGUUUUCUUAACACUCUUUUUCUUCUUGAUCGAAAGCAACCGAUGCUCCCAAGAUGACGCCGACCACCACAUAAACGCUGUAGAUCCGCUUCUCCCUUACUCCGACCAUCACGAGCGUUAAUGGGUAAGUCUAAACAGCCCCUAAAGCUGCCGUCUUACCUACCCAAAACCUAUAAAAUGAAGCCCCACAAGCUCUAAACCGACUCGCAAGGCCCAAACGGCCAAAUGACUCAGCCCUUCGACUACCCCGUGAACAACCACGACUCUGAUGAGGACUCAACCGACCCAGAGCUGACGAGAAUCCACCGGCGUUCGUACAACCCAGGGGAUACUGUGAGAGCCAAUUUGGUAUUUUGCUCGUGAGGCUCGAAGGGAACCAGUGCUGAGCGUCUCACAUGGCCAUGGGACCAUUGUUGCUACUGAUGUAGUGGCUAUUCACAUGAAGGCAUGAGGUUACUGCUGGUGUGACCAUCCACGUGGAAGUAUUGGUUGAGGGGGCUGCUGUAAGAUGUGGAAUCAGCUAGGGUUUUUUUUGUUUAGCCGACCCUUACUCAAAUUUGGGUCAGCUAGGCUUAUUGGGUUUAGGUUAGGAAUUGGUUGUGGGUUAUGGUUUGAAUGGAUUUGCAUGAUUGUAAAUGGCCUUGGAUAUUGGACAUUUUAAU